AUUGAACGCUGGCGGAAUGCUUUACACAUUCAAGUCGAACGGUAGAGGGGGCAACCCCUCGAGAGUGGCGAACGGGUGAGUAAUAUAUCGGAACGUGCCCAGUCGUGGGGGAUAACGUAGCGAAAGUUACGCUAAUACCGCAUACGAUCUAAGGAUGAAAGCGGGGGAUCGCAAGACCUCGCGCGAUUGGAGCGGCCGAUAUCAGAUUAGGUAGUUGGUGGGGUAAAGGCUCACCAAGCCAACGAUCUGUAGCUGGUCUGAGAGGACGACCAGCCACACUGGAACUGAGACACGGUCCAGACUCCUACGGGAGGCAGCAGUGGGGAAUUUUGGACAAUGGACGCAAGUCUGAUCCAGCCAUUCCGCGUGCAGGAUGAAGGCCCUCGGGUUGUAAACUGCUUUUGUACGGGACGAAAAGGUCUCUCUUAAUACGGGGGGCUCAUGACGGUACCGUAAGAAUAAGCACCGGCUAACUACGUGCCAGCCGCCGCGGUAA
rnacentral:rRNA from 1 species